CAAUAGCGUAUAUUUAAGUUGUUGCAGUUAAAAAGCUCGUAGUUGGAUUUCGGUUGAGAACGGCCGGUCCGCCGUUUGGUGUGCACUGGCUGGUUUCAACUUCCUGUAGAGGACGUGCUCUGGCUUCACGGCUGGACGCGGAGUCUACGUGGUUACUUUGAAAAAAUUAGAGUGUUCAAAGCGGGCUUACGCUUGAAUAUUUCAGCAUGGAAUAACACUAUAGGACUCCUGUCCUAUCUCGUUGGUCUCGGGACGGGAGUAAUGAUUAAGAGGAACAGUUGGGGGCAUUCGUAUUUCAUUGUCAGAGGUGAAAUUCUUGGAUUUAUGAAAGACGAACUUCUGCGAAAGCAUUUGCCAAGGAUGUUUUCAUUA
rnacentral:rRNA from 1 species